UACGGGGGGGGCAAGCGUUGUUCGGAAUUACUGGGCGUAAAGGGCUCGUAGGUGGCCAACUAAGUCAGACGUGAAAUCCCUCGGCUUAACCGGGGAACUGCGUCUGAUACUGGAUGGCUUGAGUUUGGGAGAGGGACGCGGAAUUCCAGGUGUAGCGGUGAAAUGCGUAGAUAUCUGGAAGAACAUCGGUGGCGAAGGCGCUCUGCUGGACCAUAGCUGACACUCAGGGACGAAAGCUAGGGGAGCGAAUGGG
rnacentral:rRNA from 1 species